AACCUCCACCUCCUGGGUUUAAGUGAUCCUCCUACCUCAGCCUCUUGAAUAGCUGGGACUACAGUCAUGCAUAACCAACCCUAGCUAAUAUUUUAUUUCUUGUAGAGACAGGUUGCACUAUGUUGAACAUGCUGAGUUUGAACUCCUGGGCUCAAGCCAUCCUGCCGUCUCAGCUUCCCGAGGUGUUGGGAUUACAGAUACAGGGUCUUGCUGCGUUGCCCAGGCUGGUCUCAAAGUGGGCUCAAGUGAUCCUCCCGCCUUGGUCUCCCAAAGUGCUGGCAUUACAGGUUUAAGGCACUAUGUCUGGCCUCAUACUUUUUAAAAGAUGAAAUUCUUAGAAGAAUUUUUUUUUUUUAGAUGGAGUCUCGCUCUUGUUUCCCAGGCUGAAGUGCAGUAGUGUGAUCUCGGCUCACUGCAACCUCCGCCUCCCAGGUUCAGGCGAUUCUCUUCCCUUAGCCUCUACAGGUGUGCGCCACCAUACCUGGCUAAUUUUUGUAUUUUUAGUAGAGACGGGGUUUUACCACGUUGGCCGGGCUGGUCUCAAACUCCUGACCUCCGGUGAUCUGCCUGCCUCGGCCUCUGAAAGUGCUGGGAUUACCAGCAUGAGCCACCAUGCCUGGCCCAGAAGAAUUUUUUUAAGUGUAAUACAAUAAAAACAAUUAACAUUUAUUAAGCACUUACUCCUGCGCAGAGCUUUACACAGAUUAUUUAGUCUUUCAAACACCUCUAUGAGGUAGGUGUUAUUAUUAUCAACAUCCCCAUUUCGCAGGUAUUAGUAAUAGAGAUGACGUAGCUGGGGAGUGGUAGAGCCAGAAUUUAAAUCUGGGGAACUGAUCCCAUUACUUCCUCCCUUAACGCACACAUCAGUGUGUACAGUAUCUCAUAGUGUUGCCACUCAGUAAAUAGUGUAGGAUAUAAUGAUUGCUCCAAAUCCUGCUCAUAGAUUGAUCAUUUUCCCCAAUUUUGAAAUAUCACUGAAAAACUAUAACU
rnacentral:lncRNA from 1 species